rnacentral:rRNA from 1 species
UACGGGAGGCAGCAGUGGGGAAUAUUGCACAAUGGGCGAAAGCCUGAUGCAGCUAUGCCGCGUGUAUGAAGAAGGCCUUAGGGUUGUAAAGUACUUUCAUCGGGGAGGAAAAAACAAAACUAAUAAUUUUAUUUCUUGACGUUACCCGAAAAAGAAGCACCGGCUAACUCCGUGCCAGCAGCCGCGGUAAUACGGAGGGUGCUAGCGUUAAUCAGAAUUACUGGGCGUAAAGAGCACGUAGGUGGUUUUUUAAGUCAGAUGUGAAAUCCCUGGGCUUAACCUAGGAACUGCAUUUUGAAACUGAAAUACUAGAGUAUCGUAGAGGGAGGUAGAAUUCUAGGUGUAGCGGUGAAAUGCGUAGAUAUCUGGAGGAAUACCUGUGGCGAAAGCGGCCUCCUAAACGAAUACUGACACUGAGGUGCGAAAGCGUGGGGAGCAAACAGGGAUUAGAUACCCGU